rnacentral:lncRNA from 1 species
GCCAUUUAUUUAGUUAAGGGAGUGAAGUGGAUUCCAUGGCUGGCUGAAAAAGCAAUGCUCCUUGGAGCCAGUUCUCCCAGAGCUGCCUUUAUCUGCUUCGUGUCUUCCUUUACUAACCUCAAACCUCUUAUUUAGGCCCUAUCACAAUGGUAGCAACUUGAACUUCAACAGCUCUUUCUGCUUGAUGAAACCCUUUCACAGGCUGGAGAGAUGACUCAAUGGGUAAUAUGUUUGCUCUGGGUGCUGGCUGGUUGUGCUGUUUUGUAUUUGUAAACUUGACAUAAUCUAGAGUCAUCUGGAAUGAGGAAUAUUUAGUUGAGGGAUUGCCUCCAUCAGAUUGGGCUGCAGACAAGUCUAUGGGGAAACUCCUGGGUAGUUGGUUCUGGGGUCUAUAUGAAAGUAGGCUGAGCAAGACGUGGAGAACAAGACAGAGAGCAGCAUCUUUUAUUAGCUCUACUUCAGUUUCUGCCUCCAGGGCCUUGCUUUAGAGUUUCUGCCCUGACUGCCCUCAAUGAUGGACCAUGACUGGGAUAGUUAAGCCAAAUAAACCUUUCUUCUUCAGAUUGGUUUAGUCAGACUGAUGGUUUGAAUAUACUUUGCCCAGAGAGUGGCACUAUUAGGAGGUAUGGCCUUGUUGGAGUAGAUGUGGCCUUGUUGGAGGAACUGUAUCACUGUGAACAUGGGAUUUAGGACCCUUGUCCUAGCUGCCUGGAAGUCAGUCUUCUCCUGUUUGCCUUUGGAUCGAGAGGUAGAACUCUCAGAUUCUCAUGUAUCACACCUGCCUGGGCUCUGCCAUGCCCCUGCAUUGAUGAUAAUGUACUGAAUCUCUGAACCUGUAAUCCAGCCCUAUUAAAUGUCUUUAUAAGAGUUGCCUUGAUCAUAUUGUCUCUUCACAGCUAAGAUAAUUAGUGUUUGAUCACAUUGGAGAAAUGUAACUAAGACACUGCACUAUCAUGGGGACUAGAGUUUGAAUCCCCAGUACCCAAACAAGUAUGCCAGCUACCUGUAAUCCCAGUUCUUGGGCAAGCUGGCUAGCUUGAGUAGCUGGAAUUGCCAGGCUCAGUAAAGCUAGAGACCCUAUCUCAACCAAUAAAGUGGAAAACAAUCAAGGAAGACUUCUGACGUCAACUCUGGGCUUCUGGACAUAAUUCAUGCAAUUAUGUAAUGUAGUGUUCCCCUUAUGUGUGUACCAUACAUAUGUGUGAUAACUAAUCUUAUCAAAAUGGCCAGAUCUAGAAUCAACUAAAACCCUGGCAGUUGGACACAAUUAUGAGGGAUUUUUUUCGAUUAAGUCAUCUGAAGUGGAAGACUCACCCUAAAUCUGGAUCUUCAGAGAUUGGAAGACCCACCCCAAAUUCAGGUUAUGUGAGUAUAAAAGUAACUUUUAUUCACCUGAUGUAAUUGUCAUCUCCAAGACUUACUGCUUCAGUCUGAUAACUUAGGCCUAGUCUGGAAGCUUCUAUCCUCCAUAUGAUCUAGGCCUCGAAUGCUUUCAGCCUCUGAGACUUGCUGCUGUAUAAACUUACCCUUUCUAACUCUUUCUGAUUGAUCUCUGGCUCAGAAGGUCUGGCUCAAACUCUUCUCCAAGCUGACUGAUUCAAACUGGAUUCUCUCUCAGUCUCAAACUUUGGCUCUGUUUGACCUCAUAUUAACUUUAGCAGUAUGUUCUAAUCAUCUGGCUCUUUCUCAUUCUCUGGUUCACUGUGACUUCACGUGGGUCUAGCUUGUCCUCUCUUCAGUCUGUCUCUGUAAAACUGUCCUGGUAAAACUGCUUUCCUCCUUUCUUUUCUCUACGCUGCCCUCUCUUUAGUCGUUUCCCUUUCCUUUCUCUUCUCAUGGGAACUGGUCAUAUUCUAUCUCUGAUUCAUUCUGUCAAAUCUUUCUCCGAUUCAUCACUUUGUCACUCAAUUAGACAUUACUUUCAAACAUGGGUACUUCCUUCUACAAACUAAACUUACCUUCAUUGUUUGGGAUUAAAGGUGUAUACUAGUCACCUCUAUAUUUCCACCAUAGGGAUUAAAUGUGUAUGAAAAGGCUGAAAACUAGAAACAGUUUUUUUUCAGUAAAUAACACAAUCUUGGGUUUCAUGGUGUUACCAAAUAUCCUGCAACAGUGAGGUUUGAAGACCUACCCUAAAUAUGAACCACACCUGGUGACAGCACCAGGAUAUUGAAGAAGGAAACUUUUGUUUCUUGCUCCUUGCCCUCACUCUUGCUGGCAAGUUUAUCUUGUUUCUGAGGUAUGCCUUUGCUACCUUCUUCUUCAAGACUCCAACAUAGACUUAAGACCAACUGAGACAUUAGUGGGACAAUCAUACGAUUCUUUGCUUUUUUGAUGGUAGAUAGUCACUGCUGGACUUGCUGGUCCAGAGACAGGGAAAGAGAGAGAAAGGAAGAGAAAGAGGAUAUAGAUAGAUACAGAUGAUAUAGAUAUAGAUGAUAUAGAUAUAGAUAUAAAUUAGUUCUAUCAGUUCUGUACCACUAGAGAACCCUGACUAAUACAACAUGCGACCCCCCCCCCCACACACACACAUGUAGGCAUAACUAUACAGCACCAAUAGAACAUGUUCACAUGCAUGCACACAUGUAGACAUACCAUAUUGGGCAUGGUUGCUCUCACCUUUAAUCCUAACACUCAGGAGGUAGGUGGGUAGAUCUCUGUGAGUUUAAAGACAGUCUAGUCUCUGAAGUGAGUGCCAGGACAGCCAGAGAUACAUACUGUCUCAAAAAUAAACAUAAACAAACAAAAAAGAAACAACAAAAAAACCAAAACAAAAAACAUACAGCAAAUCUCUGGAGACAUUACUAUUAUUUCAACAUAGCAUUUUUCAAGGACAAUGAAAAAUAAGGAAUGUUAAAAAUGGUUUGUACAUUAUAGCAGUACAUGUCUGACAAUGGUUGUCAUUAAUCUAAACCAGUCACUUGGUGAUGCUGAGCAAGUAACCUGUGAUGGACAAUGGAGCAGCUGUUUGAAAAGAAUAUGACAAAUUGUAUCUACUUUACAUGUCUGCAGAUCCUAAAGAUUAAUAUCGACAGAGCCAGAGGGACACUCAGCCCAGACAGAAGAGAAAGCAACAUGUGGCUGGCAGCCCGUGUUAGAGGAAGCAGGAAGCACACUUGGAGGGAAGACAAUAGCAGCUGAUGGUACAGCUGAUGGGAGAUGAAGGAACAACAUGAGUAAGAGAUGCUGGGAAGGGGCUGGACGUGGGUCUCCUGUGACUUCUGCAGCUGCCACGGCUUCCAGUUCAGUCACCCACACUGGUUUAGGUGAGUUGGACUCUAUUAAAGAGUAAUGAAAUGUGUGGUAUUGGAAACGUCUGCGUGUGUAGUCAUUUGUCAUAACAUAAAUGGAAAACUAAGAUACACAGUGAGGGAAGACGCAGACAACAUAACUAAGGAUGAGGCACACAACUCUUAUAGACACAUGAAAUCAUCAAAUGUUGGUCCCCACACUUCUAUAGCUCUCUCUGGGUAAAUACUUCCCCUCUGAGUUAGAAUUUCUUCAUCUGGAAAUAAAGCUAAUAAAUGUUUAAUG